CCUACGGGUGACAGCAGUAGGGAAUCUUCCACAAUGGGCGCAAGCCUGAUGGAGCAACACCGCGUGAGUGAAGAAGGGUUUCGGCUCGUAAAGCUCUGUUGUUGGAGAAGAACGUGCGUGAGAGUAACUGUUCACGAAGUGACGGUAUCCUACCAGAAAGUUACGGCUAACUACGUGCCAGCAGUCGCGGUAAUACGUAGGUGGCAAGCGUUAUCCGGAUUUAUUGGGCGUAAAGCGAGCGCAGGCGGUUGCUUAGGUCUGAUGUGAAAGCCUUCGGCUUAACCGAAGAAGUGCAUCGGAAACCGGGCGACUUGAGUGCAGAAGAGGACAGUGGAACUCGAGGUGUAGCGGUGGAAUGCGUAGAUAUAUGGAAGAACUCCGAUUGCGAAGGCAGCUCACUGGACUGCAACUGACACUGAGGCUCGAAAGUGUGGGUAUCAAACAGGAUUAGAUACCCCAGUAGUC
rnacentral:rRNA from 1 species